UGGAAAAAAAUUGAAUCGUAAUUUCCUGUCGAUAUGCACAUCUACGUAGUAUGUCCUUAUUAUCUGAAAAGGUUUCAUGAAAUUCUGUUGUGUGGUUUGAGAGGAGUUGCGAUGACAAAAAGUUGCAGUAGUAUAUUUGGCAAAUAAGUUCAAAGGGGCGUAACUCCUGGAAAAAAAAUUGAAUCGUAAUUUCCUUUCGAUAUGCACAUCUACGUUGUAUGUCCUUAUCAUCUGAAAAGGUUUCAUGAAAUUCUGUUGUGUGGUUUGAGAGGAGUUGCGAUGACAAAAGGUUGCAGUAGUAUAUUGGGCAAAUAAGUUCAAAGGGGCAUAACUCCUGGAAAAAAAAAUGAAUCUUAAUUUUCUGUCGAUAUGCACAUCUACGUAGUAUGUCCUUAUUAUCUGAAAAGGUUUCAUGAAAUUCUGUUGUGUGGUUUGAGAGGAGUUGCGAUGACAAAAAGUUGCAGUAGUAUAUUGGGCAAAUAAGUUCAAAGGGGCAUAACUCCUGGAAAAAAAAAUGAAUCUUAAUUUUCUGUCGAUAUGCACAUCUACGUAGUAUGUCCUUAUUAUCUGAAAAGGUUUCAUGAAAUUCUGUUGUGUGGUUUGAGAGGAGUUGCGAUGACAAAAAGUUGCAGUAGUAUAUUUGGCAAAUAAGUUCAAAGGGGCGUAACUCCUGGAAAAAAAAUUGAAUCGUAAUUUCCUUUCGAUAUGCACAUCUACGUUGUAUGUCCUUAUCAUCUGAAAAGGUUUCAUGAAAUUCUGUUGUGUGGUUUGAGAGGAGUUGCGAUGACAAAAGGUUGCAGUAGUAUAUUGGGCAAAUAAGUUCAAAGGGGCAUAACUCCUGGAAAAAAAAAUGAAUCUUAAUUUUCUGUCGAUAUGCACAUCUACGUAGUAUGUCCUUAUUAUCUGAAAAGGUUUCAUGAAAUUCUGUUGUGUGGUUUGAGAGGAGUUGCGAUGACAAAAAGUUGCAGUAGUAUAUUUGGCAAAUAAGUUCAAAGGGGCGUAACUCCUGGAAAAAAAAUUGAAUCGUAAUUUCCUGUCAAUAUGCACAACUACAUAGUAUGUCCUUAUUAUCUAAAAAGUUUUCGUGAAAUUCUGUUGUGUGGUUUGAGAGGAGUUGCGAUGACAAGAAAUAGGACUGAUGGACGGACAG